CCUACGGGCGGCAGCAGUGAGGGAUAUUGGUCAAUGGCGGCAGGGCUGAACCAGCCAAGUCGCGUGAGGGAUGACGGUCCUAUGGAUUGUAAACCUCUUUUGUCAGGGAGCAAAGGGCGCCACGUGUGGCGCUUUGCGAGUACCUGAAGAAACAGCAUCGGCUACCUCCGUGCCAGCAGCCACGGUAAUACGGAGGAUGCGAGCGUUAUCGGGAUUUAUUGGGUUUAAAGGGGGCGCAGGCGGACUGUCAAGUCAGCGGGAAAAUUUCGGGGCUCAACCCCGUCGUGCUGUUGAAACUGGCGUUCUUGAGUGAGCGAGAAGUAGGCGGAAUGCGUGGUGUAGCGGUGAAAUGCAUAGAUAUCACGCAGAACUCCGAUUGCGAAGGCAGCAUACCGGCGCUCAACUGACGCUCAUGCACGAAAGCGUGGGUAGCGAACAGGAUUAGAUACCCUAGUAGUC
rnacentral:rRNA from 1 species